UAUGCAGGCGGUUUCGUAAGUCUGGUGUGUAAGCCCUCAGCUUAACUGGGGAGACGCGCUGGAAACUGUGAGACUAGAGUACAGGAAGGGGAGUUGGAAUUCCAGGUGUAGGGGUGAAAUCUGUAGAUAUCUGGAAGAACAUCAGUGGCGAAGGCGAACUCCUGGCCAUGUACUGACGCUGAGAUACGAAAGCGUGGGAGCAAACAGGAUUAGAUACCCUGGUAGUCCACGCUGUAAACGAUGUGCACUAGGUGUUGGGGUCUUCGAUCUCAGUGCCGUAGCUAACGCGUUAAGUGCACCGCCUGGGGAGUAUGCCCGCAAGGGUGAA
rnacentral:rRNA from 1 species